GAUGAACGCUGGCGGCGUGCCUAAUACAUGCAAGUCGAGCGGACGGACGAGAAGCUUGCUUCUCUGAUGUUAGCGGAGGACGGGUGAAUAACACGUGUAUAACCUACCUAUAAGACUGGGAUAACUUCGGGAAACCGGAGCUAAUACCGGAUAAUCUUUUGAACCGCAUGGUUCAAAAGUGAAAGACGGUCUUUCUGUCACUUAUAGAUGGAUCCGCGCUGCAUUAGCUAGUUGGUAAGGUAACGGGUUACCAAGGCAACGAUGCAUAGCCGACCUGAGAGGGUGAUCGGCGACACUGGAACUGAGACACGGUCCAGACGCCUACGGGAGGCAGCAGUCGGGAAUCUUACGCAAUGGGCGAGAGCCUGACGGAGCAACGGCGCGUGAGUGAUGACGGUCUUCGGAUCGUAAAGAUCUGUUAUGAGGGAAGAACAUAUGUGUAAGUAACUGUGCAGAUCUUGACGGUAACUAAUCAGAAAGCCACGGCUAACUACGUG
rnacentral:rRNA from 1 species